GCUGUGGUCUUUGAUCUUCAUCAGUAAGUGCUUCAAGUCCUCUUCACUUUCAGUAAGCAAGGUUGUGUCAUCUGCAUAAUGCAGGUUGUUAAUGAGUCUUCCUCCAAUCCUGAUGCCCUGUUCUUCUUCAUAUAGUCCAGCUUCUCGGAUUAUUUGCUUAGCAUACAGAUUGAAUAAAUUGGGGAAAGGAUGCAACCCUGACACACACCUUUCCUGAUUUUAAACCAUGCAAUAUCCCCUUGUUCUGUUCAAAUAGUUGCCUCUUGAUCUAUGUACAGGUUCCUCAUGAGCACAAUUAAGUGUUCUGAAAUUUCCAUUCUUCUCAAUGUUAUCCAUAAUUUGUUAUGAUCUAUACAGUGGGAUGCCUUUGCAUAGUUAAUAAAACACAGGUAAACAUCCUUCUGGUAUUCUCUGCUUUCACCCAGGAUCCAUCUGACAUCAGCAAUGAUACCCCUGGUUCCAUGCCCUCUUCUUAAUCCGGCUUGAAUUUCUGGGCAUUCCCUGUUGAUAUACUGCUGCAGCUACUUUGAAUGAUCUUCAGCAAAAUUUUAUUUGCGUGUGGUAUUAAUGAUACUUCCGAAUUCAGUUGGAUUGCCUUUCUUGGGAAUAGGCAUAAACAUGAAUAUCUUCCAGUUGGUUGGCCAGGUAGCUGUCUUCCAAAAUUUCUUAGCAUAGAUGAGUGAGCACUUCCAAUUGGUAUUCUGUCAAUUUCUGGAGCCUUGUUUUUCACCAGUGCUUUAAGUGCAGCUUGAGCCUCUUCCUUCAGUACCAUCAGCUCCUGAUCAUCUCGAUGAAGUUGUAAAAUAGCCUAGUCGAUAGGUAGAUAAUCCUAUAGAAAAUUAGAUAGUGUCUGGAGAAACAUGUGGUAGUUUCAAAAUAUGUCCACAAAUUAUUUGAUACUCCUUCUUUCAAGAGGUGGAGCUUGAUUUUCCUCCCCUUGAGGGCAGGCUGAACUUAGAGACUCACUUUUUUUUUUUUUUAGUGAAAAUAUAUGCAACAAAACAUACACCCAUUCAACAAUUUCUACAUGUAUAGUUCAUUGACAUUGGUUGCAUUCUUCACAUUUUGUCACCAUUCUCAUUAUCUCUACCCAUGUUGUUUCACCACCUUUAACUUAGACUCUCUGCCCCUUAAAGUUCUCAUCUGUGCUUCAGGGUUACUGUUGACAAUUUGAUCUCAUAUAUUUAAUUCUUCAAAAGAGGGCAAUGUUCCAAGGAGACAUUAUUCAUUGAGCUGAAGUGUAGUUUAAAGAUGACUUUGUGGGAUAGUUUCAGUUUGAGGCUUAAAGAUUAUUUCAGAGCAAUAGAUUUGGGAUUCCCCCAGUCUCAAUGGGUCCAGUAAGUCUGGUUUCCAUCAGAAUUAGAUGUUCUGUUCCACAUUUUUCUUCCUUUUGAUCAAGAUCCAUCUAUUCGCUCCUUGAUCAAAACGUUUGGUACUGGUAGCUGGGCACUACCGUUUCUUCUGCUCUCAUGGCAAAGGAGGUAGUAGUUCAUGGAGGCAAUUACACCUGUAGUCUAUUUCCUUCUCUGAUUUCUGGGUCUUCUUCCUGUGCUGCUCUGAGUAAGCAGAGGCCAAUUGUUGUGCCUUGGGUGGCUGCGGGCGAGCUUUUAAAACCCCAGGCACUAUUCACCAAACUAGGAGGUAGAACAAAAACUCUAAAACAACAUUAGGCCAGCUGACAGGAGAGACCCAUGAAGCCAUUACCUUAAACCUUCAAAUCAAGAAAACUAAUCCCAAGAGGUAUUUAGUUGUACCUAAGUAGUAACAACAAAUACAACCUUUUUUUUUUUUGGCUGCUGCUGUUGUAAAAUUAUAUAUAACACUAUAUUUGUCAUUUUGCCUACCUCCUUUUUUUUUUUUAUGGUGUACAGCUUAGUGAUAUCAGUUACAUUAGUCAAGUUAUGUGACCAUUAUCCUUCAUUAAUGCCAAUUUUCCCAUCAUCAUAGACAAAAAUUCACUACUUCCCAGAGAAUGAUUCCCUGUUGAGAUUUACUUCUAACGAGCAGAAUGUGCAGGAAGUGAUAGUGUGUGAUUUCUGAGACUAGGGCAUAUGAGACAUUGUAGUCUCCUUCUCUCUCUUUUUAAAGGCAACUUUAUUGAGAUAUAAUUCAUAUACCAUACAAUGAGCCUGUUUAAAAUGUAUAAUUGAAUGGUUUUUAGUAUAGUCACAGAGUUGUGCAAUCAUUGCCACAAUCAAUUUUAGAGCAUUUUCAUCAUCCCCCAAAAGAAACUCCAUACCCAUUAGCAGUCACUACUCCCCUUUCUCCCCAACUCCUCCAGCCUUAAAACCAAACCAAAACCAAACCCAUUGCCAUUGAGUUGAUUCUGACUCAUGGCAACGCAAUAGAGUUUUCUUGGCUAUAAUCUUUACCGAAGCAGAUUGCCAGGGAUUUCUUCUGUGUGCUGCUGUCGAGUCAAUUCUGACUCAUGGUGACCCCAUGUGUGUCAGAGUACAGCUGUGCUCCAUAGGGCUUUCAAUGGUUGAUUUUUCUGAAGUAGAUUGUCAGGUCUUUCUUCUGAGGUGCCUCUAGGUGGUUUUGAACUUCCAAUCUUUUGAUUAGCAGCCAAACAUGUUAUCUGUUUGCACCACCCAGGGACUCCAUAAAAAGAAAAAACCAGUGAUGAAUUUGUAUUGGCUGAGCCCAAAAUGGUUUCAGCAAUCAGAACCAUCCUUGGGUCCUCUGACACAUGGUGAGAACACGUGCUCUUGGUGGCAGAAGCAGUCAUAUGGGGUGGGGGGCCUGUGGUGGGAAAGAGUACAGACUUGGGAGCAAGGCUUCCUGGGUCUGAAGCUCGGCAGUGCCCCUUGCUAACUGUGUGAUACUGGGCAAGUUAUUUAACCUUUUUUGCCUUGGUUUCCCCAUCCUUGGUUGUGAUUGGUUGGUUAUGAUAUUAACAGUGACAAAUUAUAGGGUUUUUGUGAGGAUUAGGUCAACUCAUGUAUAUAAAGAACCCGAGACAGGGUCCAGUACAUAAAUAAAACAUACCAUGUAGUAAGCAGAAUAGUCCCUGGGUGGCACAAAUUGUUAAGCACUCCAUACCAGACAAAAGGUUGGCAGUUCGAACCCACCCAGAGGCUACUUGGAAGACAGGCCUGGCAAUCUGCUUCCAAAAGGUCACAGCCUUGAAAGCCCUAUAGAGCAGUUCUACUCUGCACACAUGGGGUCACCAUGAGUCUGAAUCAACCCCAUGGCAACUAACCACCACCACCAUCACCACAACAACAGUAGGCAGAAUGGCUCUCCAAAUAUGUCCACGCCCAAAUGUCUAGAAUUCAUAAAUGUUAUGUUAUAUGGCAAAAGAGACUUUGCAGCUGUAAUUAAAUGAAUAGACCUUAAAAUAGGACGAUUAGCCUGGAUUGUCUGAGUGGGACCAAUCUAAUAACAUGAGCCCUUAAAAGCAGAGAAUGUUCUCUGCCGGAGGCAAAAGAGAUGUAGCAAAAGGAGAAUUCAGAGAGAUUCCAAGUGUACAAAGGAUUUGAUGCCCCACUGCUGAUUCUGAGAUGUAGAGAGCCAGGUGUUCGUGCAUAAGGACUGCGAGAGGCCUCUAGGAGGUAAAGGUGGCUCCUGCAGCUGGCCAGCCAGACAAUAGAGACCUGAAAAAGCUUGGCAACAGAUUGUUCCCCAGAGUCUCCAGAUAAGAGUCCAGGCCAGGUGAUACUUUGAUUUUGGUCUUGUGAGAUACACAGCAGAGAAUCAGCUAAGCCCAUCAGACUUCUGACCUACAGAACGAUGAGAUAAUAAAUUUGUUUUGUGUUAAGUUGCUAAUUUUGUGGUAAUUUGUUAUGGCAGCAAUAGGAAGCUCAUACGCUAUGUAAAAAAAAGCAUUAUUAGCACCAUCAUUAAUUCAGUUUGCCCAAACAUAGACUCCUAGCCAACUAAAAUGGCAGAGCUUAAAAGGAGAGGCCUUGUAUGUAGGAAGGCUGUCUUGGGAAACAUCUUAUUAUUAUGCGGUUUGGCUUCCUGAAGAUUAAAUCACACUCUUCAUGCAGACAGUAAUUUUCCAUAGUGCACUUUUUCUCCUGCAACAAUAAAGAAUUUAAUAUGGGUGUUUCCUCUUCACCAAUUCUCAUUUUCUAAGACUAUGUCGGGGAGCUCUCCUAUCUUCCCUGAUGUCUUCAAAGGCAGCCUGCAGACUUUUUUAAUUUUCAGGAUUUUACUGCUGACCACUUCUAAGGAUUACAGUACUUUAACACAGAUGGCAAAUACACAGACAUUGUAGUUCAGGACACUUCAUAGUGCUCUUACAAGCACUACCUUAACUUGUAUUGUCUUCCUUCUUAGAAGGUAACUGGAAGGUCUUUCUCUCCUUCGGAGAAUCUAUAUAAUGACUCCCUUCUAAGAAAUCCUUCCUGAGUGGCCCUUAGGACAGUAAACUCCCCUUUAUCUCAUGUGGCUGAUUCACAUUUCAGAGGACCUCUAGAGUAGGUGACCCCAAUUUCACUGUCCCCUGCCACACGGAAAUCAUCAUUUUCGGUCAUUUCUUCACACUCUCACACACAAAUUUCCCUCAUCCUGCUAUGGUUACUUUUAGGUCAUUGAUAUAGAUCAGUUUUAAUUUUAGUGGCCUGAACUCACUAAUAUGGUGAGUUGGUGGUCUGGCUUUUAUCUGCCAUUUCAUUCUUCAGUAGCUUACUUUUUGUUUCUAUCUCAGUUGAAAUAAAACAAGCCAUGGGAUGAGGUGUUAACCUAGUUAGUUAUACCUUAGUGUGAAUGUGUGGAAUUGGAAGAAAAUGGAGACGGGAGAAGUGGACAGUAUGUACCUGAGAGGAGCGCAAAGGAGUUCCAGAGACGGGUAAGAUCACGUAGUCACUUUCUGGAGUCCAAGUGCCCAUAGUCACUUUUUCAGGCAGUAAACAACCAGCAGUCUAUUUGAAAAGGAUACUUUCCCAGACCUAGGGUUGAGCAGGAGUCCCUGGGUAGUGCAAACAAUAAACAUGCUCAACUGCUAACUGAAAGAUUAGAGGUUCAAGUCUACCCAGAGAUACCUUGGAAGAAAGGCCUGGUGAUUUACUUCCAAAACAUCAACCAUUGAAAAUCCUAUGGAUAACAGUUCUACUCUAACGCUUAUGGGGUUGCCAUGAGUCAGAAUUGACUCAAUGCAACUGGUAUAGUGUUGAGCAACUUUUUACAAAGCAUGCCUUUCAGACUCCUAUGACUCUAGCCUAUUGAGUUUCAAUGAACAGUAGGGUAGCCUGCAUUUUGAUCCUUUAAACCAACUCAUAGCUACCCUAUAGGACAGAGUAGAACUGCCCCAUAGGGUUUCCAAGGAGUGGCUGGUGGAUUCAAACUGCAGACUUUUUGGUUAGCAGCCGGGCUCUUAACUACUGUGCCGCCAGGGAUCCCUUAUACGAGUGAAAAAAAAAAUACUAAAUAUUACUGCACAGAUUAUACUGCACAUAUCCGUUGUCUUCUAGAGUGGUCCAUUAAAAUGAGUUUCCAGUUUAAAUAGUCAAGAUAGUUUUAUUCGUGUUGAGAUGAUCCAGAGGAAAUCUCAAUUUCUACCUUAAACCUGUUACUCGUUAGCUUUAGCUUCACAAAAUAUCUUCCAUUGCAAAACCUUUAUGGGGAACAUUUGAAAAAUUUAUUGAAGGACGUAUAAGAAAAGCUGAAGAAGUGAAGGGAUGUAAAGUAUUUAUGGAAAGGAAUGCUUGAUAAAAACAUGCCAAUUCUCUAUAAGUUAAAUUAUAAGUACGACUCAAUUCCAAUCAAAAUCCCACUAUGAUUUGUGUGGAACUUGAUAAACCGAUUCUAAAAACUUUGGCUUUAGCUAAGACAAUUCUGGAAAAGAGGAAGGAGAUGGGAAUUUAUCAGAUAUGACUACUUAUUACUAAAAAUAAAAGCUACGUAAAUAAAACAGCAUGUUAUUGGUGAAGAAUAGACUAGAUCUAGAAAUAGAUCAUUUUGAUAGGAAUUUGGCUUACCAAAAACCCAUUGCCAUCAAGUCAAUUCCAACUCAUAGCAACCCCACGUGUCAGAAUAGAACUGCCCCAUAGGGUUUUCUAGGCUGUAAUCUUUACGGAAGCUGACUGCCACGUCUUUCUCCUGAGGAGCGGCUGGUGGGUUCGAACCACUAACCUUUCAGUUAGCAGCUGAGUGCUUUAACCACUGUACCACCAAAACAAAAAAACCAAACCCAUUGCCAUCAAGUCGAUCCCAACUCAUAGCGACCCUAUAGGACAGAGUAGAACUGCCUCAUAGGGUUUCCAAGGAGCACCUGGUGUGUUCAAACUGCCAACCUUUUGGUUAGCAGCCAUAGCUCUUAACCCCUACGGCACCAGGGUUUCCAGUCUAUCACCAGGGCUCCUAAAUAUCAGGCCAUCACAUAUCAAUGAGGAAAGGAUGAACUAUCAGUAAAUGCCAUUGGCAAAUUGGCUUUCCCAUGGGGGGAAAAAAUCUAUUUCACAUUAUUUAAAAACUAAAUUCCAGAUGAAUUAAAGAUCUAAAUGUGAAAAACAAAACUUUAAAACUAUUACAAGAAAAUCUAUUUAAAGCUAUUAGGAGAGUAGCUAAGGGUGGGGAAGUAUUUACCAAAGACACAAAGGUCAAAACUAUAAAUGAAAAAAAAAAAAAGGUAAAUUUGGUUAUACCAAAAAAUUUAAAAUUUUACUGUCAAAAGACACCAUUAACAAAGAUAAAAGUUAAGAGUCAGUCAGGGAGAUGUUUUCAGUUACUGUUAACAAAAGCUUGUUAUCUAGAGCACAUUUUUAAAAAGUCAGUAAGUAAAUUAGCAAAGUUAAAAAAUCUAAUAAAACAAUAGACAGGGUAUGGCAGGACAUUCACUGAAGAGAAAAUGCAAAUGAUCAAUAAAUGUAAAAUGAUUCUCAAUCAUAACAUCAGAGAGAUGAUAAUUAAAACAAUGACACAUUAUACUUCUUAUCCUGGCAAAAAUAGAGAAAUUUGAUUAUCGAUGAUACGGGAAAAAUAUAUCGGUAUAAACUGCUGAUGACAAUGCAAAUUGGUUUAGACGCUUUUGGGGAAACAUUUUGGUAGCAUGUAGAUCAGUUAGUCUCAACUUUAGCUGCAUAUUGAAAUUACCUGGAAAGCUUUAAAAAAACUGAUACCUGGGUUUGUCCUCUCAAUUCUGAUUGAAUUGUUCCUGGGUGCCUACUGGGAAUGCAAAUUUAGAAAAAAGUUUCCCAGUUGAUUCUAAUGUUGCCAAACUUGAGAAAAACGAGACUAGAUGCUCACCAAAACUCUCUUCUGUUCUAGAAUUCACAGAGAGAUGGCAGUUCUCCUCUGCCAGCUAGGUUGGAGAUCAUACAGCUUGGUUGUGGUCAGUAAAAUAUUAACAUAAUAGACAACGCCUCCAUCUGUCUCUUGCUCUUUGGCCAGCUGAAUGCAGGAGACCCAGGGGAAGGCUCCGAAGAGGGUCUCGGGAAUGGUGAAGCUAAAGGGAACUGGAUCCCUUAGUAAUGACUUGGAAGAAAACUACUGGAGAAUAAUUCAAGCCUCAAUGAACAGUGACAUUGCUAGUAUUGUAACCAUAUCAUCACAGAAAGCUGAAGUCAAAAAGGACCUUAGAGAUCUAAGUACAGGUUUUGAGUCCUUCAUCGUUUUUGAAUCCUGAAUACUGCUUCUUCCAGGCACCCUUCUUUUCAGAGGCAUGUAGCUGAGUGCUCAGCAUGUCAGACAUGUUCUACAAGCUGUCUCUGCAGCUGUAAGCAGAAUGACCGUUCAGAUUUCCUCUUUUGUGAGUUAAUAAGAGCAGCCAACACUUCUCAGAUGUUUCCUAUGUGCCAGGUCCUCUUCUAGGUCAUUUACUUGUAUCGACUACUUAAUUCUCACCAUGAUCCUGUGUGGUAUAUUGUUAUUAUCUCCACUUUACAGGUGAGUCAACUGAGGUAGUCACAUGGCUAGACACUGCUCAUAGUCACAUGGCUAGUAUGUGGCGGAGCCUGGAUUUGAAUCAAGAUGGGUUGGCUCAGAGUUUGUGCCAUUGUUGUCUAAGAUGACUGCAGCCAUGGGGUGCCUUGAGGUUCCUUCUGGGAGAGAGAAGGAGACUGAGGGGGAUUGUCAUGUUAGAAGAAGGAGUAGUAAAAAAUACAAGUAUCACAAAAGCUAAAUGAGGAGAAGGGUAUUAGGAGUGUCAGCUAUGAAACAACUUACGGGUUAGGCCAAAAAAAGGCCGCUGGCCAGUUAUGGGACUGUUGGUGACCUUACAGAGAGCAGUUUCACCAAGUGCUGAGAGGCAGCAGCCAGAAGGAAAGAUAAACGCAAAAUGAUCGGAGCCCGGUAGUUAUGCUAUACUAAAAGAGGAGAGACUCAAAGGACGGAGAUGCUGGAGAGGAUUAACAACACGAUUACUCAAGUCUGGUUUCAUUUGCAACAUACCCAAGCUGUCAAUUUGCUUUGAUUUAAGCUGUGCUCUGGUAUGAGAGGCUGACAUAUGUUGCCAAUUUACCCCCAUUUUGUUGCAAGAUCAAUUGCUUUCUGUUUUACCCUUUUUGUUGUUCUUCUGAGAAAACAUUUUUAUGGGUCUUAAUAAUUUAUUUGAUAUCCUAAAUCAAAAAGAAGAUGUUUUCUUCUUUUGCUGUGAAAAUUCCCAGUCCUUAAUAAAGUGCUGAAUUUUUCACAAGACUGUACUUUUGGGAAAACCUGCUUAAUAAUAUAAUUCCUGAAUGAGAAAAGUAAAAUAUAGAGAAUAAAACAUAAUUAAAGAGACAAUUUUCUCUCUCUUGUAUGGCAAAUUAAAUCUUUGGAACAUUACAUGAUUUCAUUAAAAAAAAUAUAGCCUUCUUAGCUCUCUUGUUUAUUGUAACAAUCCCAGGAACAAUCAUAAUGAUUUGCACUCUUUAAAUAUUUGUUAAUGAAUUAAAGACAUCGUUCAUUUGGUAUUAAUCAUAUUGCUUUGCAUUUAAAAUGAGUAUGAUUCUUUUUUUUUUCUCCAUUAAACAAACCUUUAUUAAGUUUCUGCUCUGUGCCUUGUACUCUGUGCUUAAUCAUGUAGUCCUACUUACAAACUGAGUUUGUUUCUUUAGUGACUAUGUUUGAAACUUCUGAACUGGGUUUUUAUUAUCUGUGUGGUCAGGAUCUAUGAAUUAUAUCAUUUUACAGCCCAGAGCUGGCAUCUAGGGGGCUUAACAAACAUCUUCUGAAUUGUACAGCAAGUCACAUUAGCCAUAAACUGAUAGCACCUGUAUGUGUAUAACACAGCUAAUACUAACUAAAAACUUACUGCAGGUUUUUUGUGAAUCCCUUUUAUCAGGAUAAGGAUAUUCCCUUUAAGCUCUAGAUUGUUAAUUAAAAAAAAAAAAAUGAUUGCUGAAUUUUUAUCAAAUGAUUUUUCUAAAGAUGAUCAUAUAUUUUUCUCCUUUAAUUUGUUAAUGUGGUAAAAAAAAAAAUGUGGUAAGCUAUACUAAUUGUCCACCUAAUGCUAAAUCCAUCCUUAUUCAUAGAAUAAGACUAGGUCAUGAGCGUUUUUUGUUUUGGUUUGUUAUUUAGUGAGUUUUUUUUUUUUAAUCGGCUUUAAUUAGGAAUAGUUUACAUACAAUAAAAUAUACCCAUUUUAUGCAUAUAUUUUGGUAAGUUCUGACUAGUAUCUGUCAAUAUAAAACUGUGUAAAAAGUUUGAAAAAGUUUUAAGACUCAUCCAUCAUUCACCUUUGGGCAUUUCUUCCUUUAUGAAAAAUAAAAUGGGCUGUCUGCACUCCAAAAAAACCCAAAAAACCAAAACCCAUCAGUAUGAGACCAAGGGGCAAUAAGUUCUCAAAAGCAAAGAUGAGAAGAUAAGGGGCAGGGAUACUAGAGUACUAGAAAUGGAACAAACAGAACUCAAUACUGAGCAGAAAUUGUCAAAUAGGGAUCUAACUUGUGUAAACUUUUACCAAAAAUCAAUAAAAUAUUUUAAAAAAGAGUAUCUUUGUACUUGCCACAACGUCAAGAUGUAUAACAUUCCCAUCCAAAAUUUCCUUGUUCUCUUUUCAGUCAGUAUCUCCCAUCCUUGGUCCAGGAAAUCCCUGGUCUAUUUACUGUCACCAUAAAUUAGCUUUUCCUUUUCUAGAGAUCAGACAAAUGGAAUCAUAGAGAAGGUACUCUUUUAUUCAGUAUGUUUUUGAGAUUCAUCCAUAUUAUUAUGUGUAUCAGGAGUUUGGUUCU